AUGAACGCUGGCGGCGUGCCUAAUACAUGCCAGUCGAGCGAACAGAUAAGGAGCUUGCUCCUUUGAAGUUAGCGGCGGACGGGUGAGUAACACGUGGGUAACCUACCUAUAAGACUGGGAUAACUUCGGGAAACCGGAGCUAAUACCGGAUAACAUUUAGAACCGCAUGGUUCUAAAGUGAAAGAUGGUUUUGCUAUCACUUAUAGAUGGACCCGCGCCGUAUUAGCUAGUUGGUAAGGUAACGGCUUACCAAGGCGACGAUACGUAGCCGACCUGAGAGGGUGAUCGGCCACACUGGAACUGAGACACGGUCCAGACUCCUACGGGAGGCAGCAGUAGGGAAUCUUCCGCAAUGGGCGAAAGCCUGACGGAGCAACGCCGCGUGAGUGAUGAAGGGUUUCGGCUCGUAAAACUCUGUUAUUAGGGAAGAACAAAUGUGUAAGUAACUGUGCACAUCUUGACGGUACCUAAUCAGAAAGCCACGGCUAACUACGUG
rnacentral:rRNA from 1 species